rnacentral:rRNA from 1 species
UACGUAGGGGGCCAGCGUUGCUCGGAAUUACUGGGCGUAAAGGGUUCGUAGGUGGUGCGGUAAGUUGGGAGUGAAAUCUCUGGGCUUAACUCAGGGGCUGCUUUCAAAACUGCCGUGCUCGAGUGCGAGAGAGGUCAGUGGAAUUGCAGGUGUAGCGGUGAAAUGCGUAGAUAUCUGCAGGAACACCCGUGGCGAAGGCGGCUGACUGGAUCGCAACUGACACUGAGGAACGAAAGCUAGGGGAGCAAACAGG